UACGUAGGGUGCAAGCGUUGUCCGGAAUUAUUGGGCGUAAAGAGUUCGUAGGCGGUUUGUCGCGUCCGUUGUGAAAGCUUGGGGCUCAACCCAAGUCUGCAGUGGAUACGGGCAGGCUAGAGUCAGGUAGGGGAGAACGGAAUUCCUGGUGUAGCGGUGAAAUGCGCAGAUAUCAGGAGGAACACCGGUGGCGAAGGCGGAUCUCUGGGC
rnacentral:rRNA from 1 species